rfam:Lupinus angustifolius cultivar Tanjil chromosome LG09, whole genome shotgun sequence.
CAUACCAGUACUAAUGCACUGGAUCCCAUCAUAACUCUGCAGUGAAGCGUGCUUGGGCGAGAGUAGUACUAGGAUGGGUGACCACGUGGGAACUCUAU